CAGACACAUAACACUUACUAACUGUGUGACCCUGGAAGGAAACUCUCGUAACAAAUAUGGAUUGUUGGACAACAGAAAUUCCCAUGCUGACCAUGUUAAAAAAAGCCAUAGGCCUUUUUUCUGCAUCUGAGUUCAUCACUUCCCUGUCAAGAGGCAAACAACUACCAUGAAGACAGAACUCACAUACCUGGUUUGUGCAGGAUCAUCUUUGCUUGCCAUUUUUGGGUAUGUUUGGAAAUUGGAGGCAUUUCUUUAUGAAGAAAGGAAGAUGUACCAUGAAUAAAUUAUAUGUUACAUAAAAUAAUUAAGACAAGGUAUCACAAAAAGAUGAUUAAUAUACUGAAAUAAAUCUUAUGAUUCUAGCACAGUAAAUACAAAAUGAAAUUACAUUGAAUACAAGUUAUAUGUCAUCUGUAGGAAAUAUAACUUGACAUUUCCUAUAUGGGGCAUUCAAAGACACCUAAUAUGUGUUAUAGUCAUAUUAAAAUUAUAACACACUUGUUACUUUUAAAAUGUCAAAAUAUCCAUUUAUGUAUUAUUUCCUUUGAUGAAUUCCAGAUGUCCCCAUUUGAAGUAUGGAAAAUAA